AGUUUUGUUUUUGAGACAGGGUUUCUCUGUAUAGCCCUGGCUGUCCUGGAACUCACUUUGUAAACCAGGCUGGCCUUGAACUCAGAAAUUUGCCUGUCUCUGCCAAGUGCUGGGAUCAAAGGUGUGCGCCACCACUGCCCAGCUCAAACAAACAUUUUUAAGUAGCAGCUUUUAUGCUUGAAAUUCCAAAAUCUUUCCAGUCCUGAGCACAAUGAGACAUGACAAGGGAGUUCACACCAACCUUGUUUAUGCUGGAGAAAAAAAUCAGAGCAAAUAACAUCCAUCAGGAGAAACUUAGAUGUCUAGACAGCAGAUUUGCCGGCAGAGAGAGACUGAAUGGAAAGACACAGAGUUCCUGUAACCAAUAUAGCAUAUAGCUAUAGAUAUAAGGAUAUAUGGGUAUAUACAAUAUACAUAUAUAGGGAUAUAUAAACAUAUGCAGAGAUGGCUGUAUCUGCAAUUAAUGAAAUACAGCUGUAAUAUUUGUAGAAAGGUUGGAAACAUUCAAAUCAGCACCACAUGAUAAAUGUUUUGUGCACACACACAAUACACACACACAUAUGCACACACAUAUGCACACACAUUCUAAUUUUCUUCCACUGAAAUGAUUAUAAAAUAUCAAAUCUAUAUUAAAAUUUGUGUGUUUAUGUAUAAGCAGUAAUUUUUUAAAAGAAAGACAUGUUAUGCUUAAUUAUAUAUCUCUGUAUGUUAUGUGUGCACAUGUGAGUAUAGCAUCAUCUGAGGCUAGAGUUGGGCGGAGCAUCUCCUACGAGCUCUGAAACAGUAGGAAGUACUCUUAGUCACUGAGCCAUCUCUUUAGCCCCAUGACUUUUUUUUUCAAUGCACAGAAACAAUAAACUCUGAAUGCAGGGUAAUAGUUAUCUCUGAAAGGUGAGGAAGGGACUAUUUAGAAAGUGUGCCUUGUCAGGCAGUGGU
rnacentral:lncRNA from 1 species